ensembl:lncRNA
UCAGACCACACUGGUCUCCUUCCAGUUCCCAUUUUCGAGGGCUGCCUUGACCUCAGGAUCUUUGCUCUUCCUCCUCACUUUUCCCUUAAUACUUUUCCCCCAAAUACUCACAUGGCUUGCUCCUUCAUUUCCUUAAGUCUCUGCUCAAAUGUCCCUUCUCAGUGAGGCCUUCCCUGACCACUCCAUUUAAAAUUGCAGUGACCUGACCUCCACACCUGCUCUGGCAUCCCCACCACAUCCUGCUUCCCUGCUUAAUAUUUUUCAUAGCACUUACCCCUCCUAGUCUGUGAUAUAAUUUAUUUAUUUAUUUUGUUCAUUGUCUGUCCUCUCCCACUACCACCAUCACCACCACUAUAACGGUAAAUUCUGUAAGUCAGGAAGUUUUGUCUGUAUUAGUCAUUGAUGCUCAGCACCUAAAAGAGUAUCAGGCACAGUCAGCCUCGGGCUUUGUGGCUUCUUGCCCCACCUUAACUGCCCUAUGAAGUAACUGGAGAACGAAAUUAUGUGACUGCAGCCUGCAAGGCUCUUCUGUCCAUGGGAUUCUCCAAGCAAGAACAUUGGAGUAGGUUACCAUGCCCUCCUCCAGGGGAUCUUCCUGACCCAGGGGUCGAACCUGCAUCUCUAAAGUCUCCUGCGUUGCUGCUUGUGCUGUUCUUCAGAGGCUGCUGCUGCUGCUGCUAAGUCACUUCAGUCGUGUCCGAUUCUGUGCAACCCCAUAGACAGCAGCCAACCAGGCUCCCCCGUCCCUGGGAUUCUCCAGGAUUCCCUGAUACCUCAGCUGGUAAAGAAUGCACCCGCCAUGCGGGAGACCCUGGUUGGAUCUCUGGGUUGGGAAGAUCCCCCAGAGAAGGGAAUGGCUACCCACUGCAGGAUUGGCCUGGAGAAUCCCAUGGACUCUAAAAGUCCACGGGGUCACAGAGAGUCAGACACAAACCAGGAACAGAAUGGAUGGCUGGUUUCUGGUCUACAAUAUCUGGAGCAUCAGCUGGAAAAUUCAAAGACUGGAACCAUCUGAGAGAUCAUCCACUCUCACCGUAUGACAGUGGCUGAUGCUGGCUCAUGGCUGGGGGCUGGCUGGGGCUGUCAGCCAGGAUAUCUGCACUGGACCUCUCUAUGUGGGCUGGGUUUCCUUACAAUGUGGUGACUGAGUUCUAAGGACAAGUAUCUAAAGAGAGAGGAGAAAGAGAUGGAGGUUGUAUCUUCUGCGUGGGCUGGGCUUCAAAGUCAUAUGCUUAGUGAUGGUCUGCCAGACUCCAAUGCUUUGGGCAGCCACAAGUCCCUGUUGAGGUUCAGGUUCAUAAGCUUGAGACAGAGAUCUUAUCUCAUAUAGGAGGUUGUAUGUAGGAUGGGAAGACAUGCAUGUAGGAUGGGAAAAAUGUAUAAAUAGAGCCAUCUUUGGAAGAUACAAUCUGCUACACUGUGAUUCUAGAA